AUGAACACUAGGUGUGGCGGACUGAUUCACGUCUGCUGCGCCGUAGCUAACGCGUUAAGUGUUCCGCCUGGGGAGUACGGCCGCAAGGCUAAAACUCAAAGGAAUUGACGGGGCCCCGCACAAGCGGCGGAGCAUGCGGCUUAAUUCGAUGCAACCCGAAGAACCUUACCUGGGUUUGACAUCAUGGGUCUAGCUGUGGAAACACAGUGUGCGUAAGCGCCCAUGACAGGUGGUGCAUGGCUGUCGUCAGCUCGUGUCGUGAGAUGUUGGGUUAAGUCCCGCAACGAGCGCAACCCUUGUCCUAUGUUGCCAGCACGUAAUGGUGGGGACUCAUGGGAGACUGCCGGGGACAACUCGGAGGAAGGCGAGGACGAUGUCAAGUCAUCAUGCCCCUUAUAUCCAGGGCUGCACGCAUGCUACAAUGGGCGAUACAAUGGGCUGCGAUCCCGCGAGGGUCAGCCAAUCCCGUAAAGUCGUCCUCAGUUCGGAUUGGAGUCUGCAACUCGACUCCAUGAAGCCGGAGUCGCUAGUAAUCGUGGAUCAGCAAAGCCACGGUGAAUACGUUCUCGGGGCUUGUACACACCGCCCGUCACAUCACGGAAGUCGGUAACACCCGAAGUCAGUGGCCUAACCCCUUGGGGAAGGAGCUGCCGAAGGUGGGAUUGGUGACUGGGAUGAAGUCGUAACAAGGUAACCGUA
rnacentral:rRNA from 1 species